rnacentral:snRNA from 1 species
GGAUGUGAGGGCAAUCUGGCUGCGACAUCUGUCACCACUUUGAUCACCAGGGUUGAUUUGGGUGAUCUGGCUGGUUAGGUGGUUGUCCCCUUCCUCCCUCCCUGCUCCAUGUGUGUCCCUCCUGAAGCUGUGCACUGUGUCAGAGGACGACCAUCCCCAAUGGUGGAGGACCAGUCUUUGGUCAAGAGUAUACAAGUAGCUACGCUCCCCUGCUAGAACCUCCAAACAAGCCCUCAAAUUACUAGAUUGUCAGUAACCAUUGUCUUUGGAGCAUAUUUUCUAAUCUUUCCAGA